CCAGCCGGCCAUAGCGUGUGGGCCCGACCUAGACUCAUUCCGAACCUAGAAGUCAAACCACAUGUCGCUUGAAUGCUAGUGAGGUGCGAAAGCUCUCGUGAAGUUCAAGUGCCGGCACCC
rnacentral:rRNA from 1 species